rnacentral:rRNA from 1 species
ACGUAGGUGGCGAGCGUUAUCCGGAAUUACUGGGCGUAAAGCGCAAGCAGGCGGCCUGUUAAGUUUGACGUAAAAUCUCCUGGCUUAACUGGGAGGGGUCGUUGGAGACUGGCAGGCUUGAGGCGAUGAGAGGGGCAUGGAAUUCCCGGUGUAGUGGUGGAAUGCGUAGAGAUCGGGAGGAACACCAGAGGCGAAAGCGGUGCCCUGGCAUUGGCCUGACGCUGAGAUGCGAAAGCGUGGGGAGCGAACGG